rnacentral:rRNA from 1 species
UACGUAGGGUGCGAGCGUUGUCCGGAAUUACUGGGCGUAAAGAGCUCGUAGGUGGUUUUGUCGCGUUGUUCGUGAAAACCGGGGGCUUAACCCUCGGCGUGCGGGCGAUACGGGCAGACUGGAGUACUGCAGGGGAGACUGGAAUUCCUGGUGUAGCGGUGGAAUGCGCAGAUAUCAGGAGGAACACCGGUGGCGAAGGCGGGUCUCUGGGCAGUAACUGACGCUGAGGAGCGAAAGCGUGGGGAGCGAACAGG